UCGGUGUAAAUUCCAAUAAGUUUAAUUCAUGCAUCUGCUCUGACACGACGUCUUCUCCUUCUCUCUCUGACUCUGAAAGUCUCGAGUCUCUCUUAGAGAUCUUGAAUCAAAGCAUAUCUAAAACACUAUAGAGAGGAAGCUUCAGAAGAUAAAGAUAAAAGGAAGACACGAUUCUCUCCAAGAAACGGGUUCUCUCCACUUAACUAAAAGUCACGGGAAGACCUGCUUUGAGAAAUGGAUUCUCUCCUCUUACCCAUUAUCAGAUCCCUCUCCAAGUUCACAUCUUUCACCAUUUUGAUUUUGUUUCUGCUUUCUUGUACCAGGUUUACUUCAAUAGGUUUGCACAAUCUUUGAUUCUUCAGCCUAUAUUUCAGCUCUCUAAUUUUGAAGUGGUUUAUUGUUUAAUUUUUGUUAAUUAGUUUGGAUUAGUAGCAAGAUUAUAACUUCUUUUCCAUUUACAAUGCACAGAUUGGGUAAUAGUUUGUUUAUUUGAUUAAUUUCUACUUUCUUAUAUGCUGCUCUUUUUGCCAAUAAUGAGUUCUGGAAUGCAUUUUUUAAUUUCAAAGUAAAUUCUUUCGUUUUCUGGAUAUUUGCUUGAUUAAUAGGAGAAGAGAAAAUUGAGUCUAUUUACCGGUGCAUGAUUUUUUUGUCAUAUUAGAGAGGAGAUGAAAUAAACUGCAGAACAUAUAUUUCAUUCUAUUUUCAAGAGUUGCAGUUAUCUGGAAAGAUUAUGGCCUUAUAUACAAUCAUUUGUUAGUUGGGGUUCUUGACAUCUUGUGAUAUGUUUUCCACAGUUACUAAGCUUUGGUGAUUUCAUUUGGAAAUUAUAAAGCAUACAAAGUGGAUAGAGGAAGGUCUUCCUCCCAUUUCAGGGAUUUGGGGUUUGGAUGGGAAAGAUGAGUGAGUUUGGGAUGUCAUGACAAUUUCAUUAUUAUAUUUCUGAUGCGGAGUUAUAAGGAUUUAUGUUUUCUAAUCACAUGUUCAUACUUCUUUAGAUUUUUCCAAUUUAGGCUUCAAUUGAAGGAGUCCCCUUGUAUGUCGCACUGCUUAUCUGGUAGAGCAUUGGAUCCACAUGAUGAUAACAUUGUCGCUACAAGUUGUGAAUCCAUGAUCAAGUUUUGUGAUCUUCGGACAAUGAGGUACAAAUUUCCUAUCUUGUGAAGCAUUUGAGAUUAGAUAAUCUUGGUGACAUGCUGAAGCGUUGGAGCAAUGCAAUUUAGAGUAAGCAGUAAACCAUUUAAGUUUGCAUUUUUGCUUCAUUUGACUGCAAGAGAAUGAUGUGCAUUCCUUGAAGUACAUGUUUUUUUCCAUUUGCAAUUGUGGUCCUCUUCUUUUCUUUAUUGCCUAAUAGAAUUGCUCUGCUCUGUAAGCCCCACUUUUAUUAUUGUUAUUUUUUGCCAGCUCUUGGAGACUUCUGUGAACAUUAUUGUACACAUAGAAAUAUAUUAUUUCUAUAAUAAUAUACUGAGUGAUAUGAUAAGGUAUAUA